rnacentral:rRNA from 1 species
GAUGAACGCUAGCGGCAGGCCUAACACAUGCAAGUCGAGGGAUAAGCCCUUCGGGGUGGAAACCGGCGCACGGGUGCGUAACGCGUAUGCAACCUACCUUUCACAGGGGGAUAGCCCGAAGAAAUUUGGAUUAAUACCCCAUAAUAUUGAGGAAUGGCAUCAUUUUUCAAUUAAAGUUACGAUGGUGAAAGAUGGGCAUGCGUCCUAUUAGCUAGUUGGAGUGGUAACGGCACCCCAAGGCUACGAUAGGUAGGGGUCCUGAGAGGGAGAUCCCCCACACUGGUACUGAGACAGGGACCAGACUCCUACGGGAGGCAGCAGUGAGGAAUAUUGGUCAAUGGUCGAAAGACUGAACCAGCCAUGCCGCGUGCAGGACAGACGGCCCUAGAGGUUGUAAACUGCUUUUAUAUGGGAAGAAUAAGGAGCACGAGUGCUUUGA